rnacentral:lncRNA from 1 species
UCAAGUACUCGUUCUUUAAUUCUGUUGACGAAUCAAGCUGCUCGCGAUUGAUUUGGUGUUCUGCUCGAUAAAAAAACUAAAUUCAAAUAUUGCUUGAUUUUAAACGAGUUGGAUCGAUAACAAACAAGCCGAGCUGGAGCCAACCUUGCUCUGCUCGGAUGGCUUAUGAGCUUGAUGAGUUUGGCUCUCAAGCUAGCUCGUUUGAAGCUCGAUUCCAGCUUGACUAAGGCUCUAGUUAAAGAUCGUUAAUUAGUUGGCUUGAUUAAUUCGUGUAGUUCGAAAGUUGAUUUUGGAAUUUUUAAUUGUUUGAAUAUUCUUAUUUUAUCUAAAAGUAUAAUAAUAGGAUGAUGUCUUAAUGAUUUUUAACUUAAUUAAACUAUACCAAUCAAAUCUAUUUUAGAAUAUUGUGAAAAUUAUAAAUUUGUAUCUAAACUGAACUCGAAAUUUAACUCGAUUCAUUAAUAAUUAUAAACAACCCAAACAGAGCUCGUUAAGAAUUACAAAUAAGGCAAACUUGUACUCGACCUCGUUAAAAUUUGCGAAGAAGUAGAGCUUGAGCUAACAAUUAUUUCCCAAACUGCCACUACAAACAAAUAUAACCGCACUCGAACUGACCAAAACUCGACUCGGCUCUUCAACACCCCUAUUAAUAGGAUCCUAUUAAAAGUUGGUAAACAAUUUUUGUGUGGAGUGGGCCUGAUUGUUUUGGGCCAACAAUAUUCUUUUUUUACUUGUUUGGCCCAGUUGAUUGUUUCGAAACCAAACGAGGCGUCCCUACGAUUUCUAUAACGUUCUUUUUUUAGCAGUUCAAAAUUUGAGUACGUAAAAUUAUACCCUAUGAUUUCUCCAUAAUUUAUACUCUGCCUCAACCUCGGUGACUCGGUGUGAAGUGUCUCUUUUGAUCCAUCUUUGUUUCGUUUAUUGUUUAUCGAUUUCUAACUGUUUGCUUGUUCGAUGGGCAGCUGAUUGUUUCGAAACCAAACGAGACGUCCCUGAAAUCGAGACUAAUAGUGACAGGACACGCGCUAGGAGGAUCAAUCGCAUCACUCUUCACGCUAUGGCUGCUAGACAAGAUGAGCUCCAAGAAGCCAUCGAAGAACCUCCCACUCUGCAUCACCUUCGGGUCGCCUCUCAUGGGAGACAGAGGACUCCAACGAGCCAUUUCGCAACGGUCAACGUGGAACUCUUGCUUCCUCCACGUUGCUGCUGCAGUUACUCACGACCCUCUCCCCGCCCGCUUCCUGCAAACUAACAACAACAACAAUGGUGGUCACACUUACAAGCCGUUCGGCACGUUUCUCUUCUGUUCCGAUGAUGGCCGAAGCUGUGGCUGGGUUGAGGACCCUGAAAUCGUUUCGAUUUUGCUUUCACACAAGGGUAGUGGAUUGGGAGCGUCGUCUGGCGAUUCGGGUUCUGGAUCAUCGGUUGAUGGGUAUGGGAAAUUGGUUGAAAGUCUAAAGCUUAGAGUAAUUUGUCAAGGGAGUUGUGAACUUGGUGGAUCAGUUGGGGAUUCCCUCCAGGCUGGGAUUGCUUUGCAGCUUCGAUCCAUCGGCAUUUCGGAUAAGGUAACUAGUUAUAAUCAUUUAUAAAAAGAAUAAUUAGUUAUAAUCAGUUAUAAUCAUAUGUUUGUAACUAGUUACAUGAAUUAAUAAUUAAUUAUAAUCAUAUGUAACUAAUCACGUCAUUUAAUAAUUAGUUAUAAUCAUUUAUAAAAAGAAUAACUAGUUAUAAUCCUAAUUUUAUUAACUUAAUUGAAAUAUCUCAACAGUUAAUUGAGCCUGUCAAUACAAGUUGAUUAAUUUUUUUCUAUACAAAUAGAGAACAUAUAUAGAUGCAAAUUUGGACACAUUAUGAUUGAACUAUAAUUAUUUCAAAAUUGUAUUAGACUUGUUUUAAUAAUGGUUCAUGUUCUAACUAGCCAAACCAUCUUUACUGAUACGAUAUUGAAAAAUUUGUAAAAAUGUGAUAAAUUAGUUAUAAUUAUAUAUUUAUAAAUAAUUAUCCGACUUAAUAAUUAGUUAUAAAUAUUUUUAACUGAUUACGGCAACAACAGAACCAGAGCAUCAAAAGCUUGGCAGAGUCGGUGGAGAAGAAGGCGAGGUUCACAGCACUAAGGAAAAGGAGCGCCACAGAGCAAAGCAGGAAAGUCCAGGAAACCAAGGUCAAAAUGGCCUACUUCGAAUGGUACAAAAAGGACUCCAAGCUGAACAGAAGAGCAUGCUACUACGACACUUACAAAUCCCAGACCACAAUAGCCGACAUGGAAAUCGCCAAGUACAAGAAAUUCCUCACAAACUACUGGAGAGACGUCGUGGAAGACGCCGAGAGCCGGCCCCAAAAAGAAGGCUCAUUCUUCCGUACGACGUUCCUCUACGGAGGAACGAACUACAGAAGAAUGGUGGAGCCCCUAGACAUCGCGGAGUUCUACCGAGAAGGGAAAACCAAUUACAAGAGCCAGGGGAGGGCCAAGCAUUACGUUCUGUUGGAGAAAUGGCUCGAGGAUGACGCGAAGGAGAAGGUGGGUAAGAAGAAGAAGCACGGUCCGGGGGAUAAUUUGAACGAGGAUUCGUGUUUCUGGGCGAAUGUCGAGGAGGCGUUGGUUCGGGUUAGGUUGCUGAAGAAGGUUGGGGGUGGUGGUUCUUAUUCAGGGGAGGCGAAGAAAUGUUUGGUGGAGUUUUUGGGGUACGUAAUGGGGCAGAUUGAGAAUUAUGGGGUGGAUCCUGAAAUUUUCCUGGGGGAGAGUUCUUUCAUGAUUUGGUGGAAGGAGUUUCAGGAGGUUUUGGGGAUUGUUGGCAGUGGUGAUGAUCCAUUGGUUCAAUAUAUGAAGAGUGGUAAGUAUCGUUACUAUGGUUCUUCCAAGUGAUUUAUUUAUUGAUAUGGUCGAAAUAAAGUACAAAUCGAUGUACUUAUCGAAUGUGUUAUUUUUGAUUUAGCUAUUUGUAUAUGUUGUUUUUAUUUCGAAACUAGAUUUAUGUCCAUAUUAUUCCGUAAUUGUAAGUACUAGAAUGGGAAUAUGAGAAAAGGGUAUAGAAUUAAAAAGUGAUAUGGAUUAUGCUUGAUAAUAAGUCACAAAUUGUCCUAAUUUUUUUUAAUUAUAAGAAUAAUUAUCCCCUUACCUAUAAAUAUUCAUAGGGUAUAUUGAAAACACCCACUAAUGGUGGUGUUGUGUCACGUACAUUUUUAUAAUUAUGUGGGGAUGGGUUAAUUGUAUACGUCCACACGGCAUCAAAUCGAGUCUAAAGAGAGAAGAUGACAAUUGAUUUUUAAGUAGCCGUCCAUCCAGCUAGCAAUAUGCAUGCAGGAACAUGCCCCAUUUCCACUUUUGAUGAUCAUUUUUCUUUUGUGACUCGACACUUCUGAGUUGCGAGCUAGCCAGCCAAACUCCUCCAAAAUUGAACCAAAAUUAAAUUUCUAGUUUUUUCCGAAGGUGAUUGCUAGAAGUUAAGCUAAUUUAAAAAACCUUCAUUAUUAAAUAUAAUAUCAUUAUCAUAUAAAUUUUAANNNNNNNNNNNNNNNNNNNNNNNNNNNNNNNNNNNNNNNNACUAUAAUAACUCCACAAAAUAAUAGUUAAAAUCAUUUUUUAAUAUUAAGUUAGUAUUGAAAAUUUUUAAAUUGAUUUAUUUUUUAUAUGUACUGGUGAGAAAUAGUUAGAAAUUCAAGUUAAAAUAUUUUAUGGUCAAACUUAAAAGUCUAUUGGAUGUGUGUUCAUAUUUCUCUGACUCUCAUGAAUUUAAUUAUGUGGUCGAAUGAGAUAUUUUUGAUAAAAUGAAUGACUUUAACUGAAUUGUUCAUAUCAAAUAGUUAGUGUUCAUACAUACUUCCAUAGUUUCACUAACUGAAUUAAUACUAGACUACGUUAUAUACUUCCAAAGUUUCAGUGACUGAAUUUGUUCAUAUGAAAUAUUAAUGAUGAGAAGGGAAAUUUUACUGAUUACUGAUUAGUGGAGCUUUAUUCACUUUUAAAUAUAUAAAAAUAGCGCGUGUAUUUCAAACUCAGAAGAUGCUCUCGUAUGCUUUUUCCUCUUUGUCCCCGGGCUCCCCCACCUCUUUCUUUCCCUCUCUUAUCUUUUCUUCUUCAUUCCCCUUUUCAUUUCAUCUCAGAUUCUCACCUCCGCCCGCUCCCCAACACUUUCUCCUCCUCCACAUUGUCCCACCUUUCUCCGGCCAACCCUCCGGCUGCUAUGGCUACACAACCCCCACCACACCGGCCGCUGAUUCUCCUCCUCCUCUCCACUCUCCUCCUCAGUCUAUCCACAACCUCCGAGUCCAGCCUCUCCUACAACUACUACUCCAAAUCCUGCCCCAGAUUCACCCAAAUCAUCCAGGAAACAGUCACAAACAAGCAAAUCACCAGCCCCACCACCGCCGCCGGCACCCUCCGCCUCUUCUUCCACGACUGUUUCCUCAACGGCUGCGACGCCUCCACUCUAAUCUCCUCCACCUCCUUCAACAGAGCCGAGCGCGACGCCGAAAUCAACCUCUCACUCCCAGGGGACGCCUUCGACUUAAUCGUCCGUGCCAAGACCGCCCUCGAGCUUGCCUGCCCCAACACGGUCUCCUGCUCCGACAUCCUCGCCGUCGCCACACGAGAUCUCGUCACCAUGGUCGGCGGCCCCUUCUACGACGUCCCGCUCGGCCGCCUCGACUACCGCGUCUCCAAAUCCUCCGCCGUUCCCGGAAACCUCCCGCUGCCGUCGACCCCGAUGUCGCAGAUGAUCGACAUGUUCGCCGCCAGGGGAUUCUCCGUCCAAGAGAUGGUCGCUCUUAGCGGGGCCCACACCAUCGGAUUCUCCCACUGUGAAGAGUUCAGCGGAGAUCUGUACAACACCACCGCCACGGCGGGGGGAAGUAACUACAAUCCGCGAUUCGCAGCGGCGUUGCAGAAGGCGUGCGCGAAUUACAAGAAGGACCCGUCGAUCUCGGUGUUCAACGAUAUAAUGACACCGAACAAAUUCGACAAUGUGUACUACCAGAACUUGCCCAAGGGGCUGGGACUGCUGAAGUCGGACCAUGGAUUGGUGAAAGACGAUCGCACCCGGCCGUUUGUGGAGAUUUAUGCGAAAGAUCAGAACAAGUUUUUCAAGGAUUUCGCCACUGCGAUGCAGAAGCUGAGCGUGUAUGGUAUCAAGACUGGGAGACGAGGCGAGAUUAGGCACAGGUGCGAUGCUGCCAACUGAUUGAAUUCAGAAGAUCCAGUUCAUCAUCGAUCUGGGUUGUGCUGGGGAAUGUAGCGAUUCAUUAUUUAUUUUAAUCUUUUUUUCCUGAAAGUUUUGGUUGAUGUUGUAAGGAUUAUCGUUGUAUACCAUAAAGAAAAGUUUCAUACUUGAGUGGAAGUAAACAGUUGAGGUUUGUGAAAGCUGGCAUUUUGAUCAGUUGUUGAUGUUGCUAAAGUGUGGUUUGGAUGUGAUGGAGAAUUGUUAAUGUUGCUACAAUCAGAGAAGGGUUUUGGCAGAAUUUCAAGUUCAAAUGUCAUGUAUUGAUCGAUUUGAUUUUGACAGUGCAUUUUUGAGGUAGAAAAUAUCGAGAUAACAUUCUAACUUUAACUAGACUCAAACAAAGGGAAAAUGAACAUAAUAGGAGAUAUGAAGUUUGAUUUCGUCAAUUUUACAUAGAAUUUUAUAAUUCGAAAUAAAAAAUUAUGAACAAUGGUUUGAAUUGGCCCGCUCCUAGUAACAUCUACAUCAAAUUCAUGAAAAUUUUAAAUGGAGCCACAUUCCGUUUAAAACUUUCAUGAAUAAAAGUUAUUAAUCACGGCAAUUUUAACCGAUAUUGAAUGAAUAUUAGCGGUAGGAGAUCAAAAGUUUAUGUUUGACAAUAAGUUACUACACAAAUUUAUACAUAUUCAAAAUAAUUCAAAAUAACAAACCAAAUUAUAUAGGACUUGAAAUACACUGCCCGAAAUAAUUUACAUAAUUUUUGUAAACCGGCUACCAUAUGGACAUGGCAGGAAAUCCAUAAAAUAUUAAAAUGGUUAAUUUUAUAGUUUAAUAUUUAACACACAUAGUCAACAGUCAACUGCGAGGGAAAAGAAACGGCAAAUAAAACUGAGAAAGAAUUCAUAACUGGGGACGGUGCUGGAUUAAUUUAAAGGGAAGCAACACCAUUAACUAGAGAUAAUACCGAGGUAGAGGUGCAAUUAAGUGUCUUGGAGCUGAUGAUUUAAUUAGAGAUUUUUAAUUAAAAAUAAUUGGACAGUGUGAUUCUGGUUUUUGUGCUGUACUGGGGUUUCAUUUGCCGGCUUCGUUACAGCUAAGCUGAACAAUUCCUCAUGGUAACGUGACAUGUCUUGUCGGUGACUUGGUGUUUCAAACUUAUAAACUACUGAAUAUACAGAUCCGGAGCUUUAAGUCGCUAGUUUUCUGCACGUCGAUGCUUGUCGUCGUGGCAAUCAUUUGAAUCAUUCAUAGUCUGUGAAGGCCACUGCAGUUAUUUUCUGUCUCGAAUAAGAAUGGUAACGGGUCAGGAUCGGGGCGAGUACGUUAACCACUAGGGCCGGUAAGGUCCGGUUAGGGUAUAGUAUCAUUUAUCAUAUCACAGUGAGAUAGGAUAAUUGCACGUGUAGCCUAAAUCGCGAUCAAGCGAAAGUAACAGGAGGAAACAAGAAGAUAUGAUAAUUGCAUUGGCAGAAAGAAGCCAGGAGGUUACCUUGCCGGAGCGGCCAAGGGUGAUAGUGACCUUAGUGUUGGAGGACAUGAUUUUAGGUCUCCUCCAGGAGAAGGGGAAGAGGGGGGGGGGGGGGGGAUCAAAUCAAAGAGCUGAUACGAAAUCAAAGACUGCAGAAUCUGUAGUGGUAUGCUGAAUUCAUACAGUGUUUGGCAGUAGAACUGCUGGAGAAAAGCUCUGAUGGCGCGCGGUUUUGUUGAGGACGAACCCAAAGGCGCCGAGGGAAGGAAUUGAAGAUCGCGACCUGAGUAGAAUACACUACAGUCUGCCGUGCUCAUCUCAUUGGGCUCCAGUUCCGGCCAUACAGUGUUCCUAUUCGGCCCAACUAGUUCGAUUCUUCCGAAAAAAAUGCAACACAUACUACUUUAAUUUUAAGUUAUUGCAUUGUAUGUCAUUAUAGUCCGUUUAUCGCUGCAUUCGAAGCUCGUUAGCUGGUUUCUAGUAGUCCAUUCGGUAAACAUCUGAUGUGGGCGUCCACGUGAAUCUCACCCGUGUUAGAGAUGGCAAUGGUAACGUUGCUAUAGUUAUUUGUCGGACCCUCAACAAAUCAAACAUUAGAAAAUUUGAGUUGACCGAAAAUAGGGGUACUUUUGUCUUUUCAAAUUUAUUAUCUGGCGGGGUGGUUUGGUCAUUUAAAAAAGAAUUAUUUCGCUUACCAGUAGUUAUCCCUUACCAGAAUGAAUGGAAAACGGCUGUCGUGCAUGGAGAGCUUGAACAUUUAUCCAAUGGAAAGGAUAAUGUCUCCUCCUGCGCUUGACAAAUGACAAACUAGGUUGAGAAAUUGACAAAACUAUGUUGACAAAUGUCGGCUACCCGUGAAAAAAGGGAUUAACCCAAAAAAAAGAUCAUGUUAUAAAUACCUGGAGAAGAGCUAGAGCUGUACUUCAGUAAACAGUAGUAGCAGUCUACCACCAUAUAUAGCUAGAGAAGACCAACCUUAAGUUUGAUUAUGAUGGCUUCCUCUCUGGCUGUGUCUGCCACUAGCCUAGUUGUUACCGCUGCUGUAAUGUCUUCCCAUCAAGGAACACACCCAACUUUUUCCUUGCUAAUAACAAAUCCACAUCGCCACUGAAACCCAUCAUCUCAUGCCAUGCCGGUGUUGGUUCCUUGCGAAGCAAGGCUCAUCAGGAUGGUUCUUUGUUCGGCAAGGCUCAUCGGGAUGGUUCCUUGUUUGGCGGCCAGGGUGCCAUGUUCGGCAAGGCUCAUCAGGAUGGUUCCGUGUUUGUCGGUCAGAGUUCAUUGUUCGGGAAGGCUCAUCAGGAUGGUUCCGUGUUUGUCGGCCAGAGUUCAUUGUUCGGCAAGGCUCAUCAGGAUGGUUCCUUGUUCGGCGGCCAGGGUGCCAUGUUCGGCAAGGCUCAUCAGGAUGGUUCCGUGUUUGUCGGCCAGAGUUCAUUGUUUGGCAAGACUCAUCAAGAUGGUUCCUUGUUCGGCGGCCAGGGUGCCAUGUUCGGCAAGGCUCAUCAGGAUGGUUCCGUGUUUGUCGGCCAGAGUUCAUUGUUUGGCAAGGCUCAUCAAGAUGGUUCCUUGUUCGGCGACCAGGGUGCCAUGUUCUGCAAGGCUCAUCAGGAUGGUUCCGUGUUUGUCGGCCAGAGUUCAUUGUUUGGCAAGGCUCAUCAAGAUGGUUCCUUGUUCGGCGACCAGGGUGCCAUGUUCUGCAAGGCUCAUCAGGAUGGUUCCGUGUUUGUCGGCCAGAGUUCAUUGUUUGGCAAGGCUCAUCAAGAUGGUUCCUUGUUCGGCGGCCAGGAUGCCAGGUUCGGCAAGGCUCAUCAAGAUGUCCAUCAGGAUGGUCAUCAUGAUGGUUCCUUGUUCGGCGGCCAAGGUGCCAUGUUCGGCAAGGCUCAUCAGGAUGCCCAUCAGGAUGGUACCUUGUUUGGAAAGGCUCGUGUCGAAGGCGAUUUAGGCGAUGGUUCCUUGUUCGGCAAAGGUCAAGAUGUCAAGAGGGGUGACAACUUUGUUGCAGC